GAUAAGUAUGGUGUUGAUCGUGGUCGCGGUCGUAGUUGGGGACAUAUACAUGGACGUGGUCGAGGGAGAGCGACUAGGAGGAGGACGUGGAAAUUACAUUUGAAAAUUUUAAACUGUACGAAACUCUUUAUAUUAUUAAUAAAACUUAUGUUAUUGCGAUAAUAUGGUAUUGAUGUUGUGUUGUUUUGUUAGAUUUGUUAUUCGAUAUUGUGUUGUUCUGUUUGAUGCUGUGUUGAAUUAAUUGUUUUAAACGAAACAAGCUACUGCUGGGUAGUUUCUA
rnacentral:lncRNA from 1 species